UGGAGAUACAAAUGUGAUGGUUGCAGGGGGGACAGAAGCCAGCAUUGAUGCUUUAUCUAUUGCUGGAUUCUGUAGGUUAAGGGCGUUGAGUACCAAGUAUAAUUCAAAACCCCAUGAAGCCUCCAGGCCAUUUGAUUGUGGUCGUGAUGGAUUUGUGAUAGGUGAGGGGUCUGGUGUCAUGGUAUUAGAGGAAUUGGAGCAUGCAAGAAAGCGAGGAGCUAAGAUAUACGCAGAGCUACGUGGCUAUGGAACAUCAGGUGAUGCACAUCAUAUUACACAGCCACAUAUUGGUGGAAGAGGUGCAGUUUUGGCUAUGACUCGUGCUUUGAAACAGUCUGGUCUUCAUCCUAGUCAAGUGGAUUAUAUAAAUGCUCACGCAACAUCUACACCCCUUG
rnacentral:misc_RNA from 1 species